CGAGUUACCGCUCCUUAUAACCCUUUGUGAACAUACCCCAAACGUUGCCUCGGCGGGCAGCCGGAGCCCAGCUCCGGCGCCCGGAGCCGCCGUCUCGGUGCGCCCCACCCGCCGGAGGACCACUAAACUCUAUUUAAACGACGUCUCUUCUGAGUGGCACAAGCAAAUAAUCA
rnacentral:misc_RNA from 2 species